rnacentral:rRNA from 1 species
CCUACGGGGGGCAGCAGUGAGGAAUAUUGGUCAAUGGACGAGAGUCUGAACCAGCCAAGUAGCGUGAAGGAUGACUGCCCUAUGGGUUGUAAACUUCUUUUAUGUGGGAAUAAAAUGUUCCACGUGUGGGAUUUUGUAUGUACCAUAUGAAUAAGGAUCGGCUAACUCCGUGCCAGCAGCCGCGGUAAUACGGAGGAUCCGAGCGUUAUCCGGAUUUAUUGGGUUUAAAGGGAGCGUAGGUGGAUUGUUAAGUCAGUUGUGAAAGUUUGCGGCUCAACCGUAAAAUUGCAGUUGAAACUGGCAGUCUUGAGUACAGGAGAGGUGGGCGGAAUUCGUGGUGUAGCGGUGAAAUGCUUAGAUAUCACGAAGAACUCCGAUUGCGAAGGCAGUUCACUGGACUGCAACUGACACUGAGGCUCGAAAGUGUGGGUAUCAAACAGGAUUAGAUACCCUGGUAGUC